rnacentral:lncRNA from 1 species
AUUUUGCUUAUCCCUCAAUCUUGGACCAAUCAAUUGAUUUUGAUUUUUUUAUUCCUUGGUUAGACUUACUGCCAACCUUGAGCAUCGGUGACUCUGUAUCUGGUGCUUUUGGGACCUUGAUAGAUUGAUCCCCUGUCUUAAAUCUAACAUUUGAAAUGAUUGUAGAUGAUCACUGUGCAAACCUCCCUCAACCCUUUGCAGGAAAGUUGCUCUAAACUGUUCUUUUCUUAGCUCUCAGGAGCAGGCUCCUGUAGGGUGGAAGUUGCCUCUUACAGGAGACUGGGACUCCCUUGGGCAGGAAUCAUAUGUUUUGCUUAUGAAGACUCUAUCAGGUGGGACAGGUGUAAGGGUGUUUUGUUUUGUUUUGUUUUGUUUUGUUUUGUUUUGUUUUGUUUUGUUUUGUUUUGUUUUGUGGGGAAGGUGGAUGGUAGCAGUGACUUUAUGGGUGCCUUGCCAGAAUCAAAAGGAUUUUUUUGUACUAAACAUGAGGAAGACAGGUGGUAAGGCUGUGUAAUGUCCUCCUACCAGAGAAAGCAACUAGUCAUUUAAAAAAAACCAAAUUGACAAAUGCCCAUAUAAAGCGAGAGAGAAAGAGAGACAGACAGAGAGAUAGAGAGAGAUAGAGAUACAGGGAGAGAGACAGAGACAGAGAGGCAGAGAGAGACAGAGAGACAGAGACACAGCACCAAGACAACCAGGGGUGGCUGCAACACAUCCAGACUUCUGGAAAGAUGAGAAUCUGGUGACAUCUUUCACAGUUUCUGGACACUGGUAUCUUAACUGAAGAUGCCUUAGCCAUACUUUUGUCCAGAGGAGAUAGUCCAGGCAACUUUCAAAUAAUUUCCUGUAAAAGUAACUUUUAUUUGCCUGCAUCAAUUGUUGUCUCUGAGGCUUUCUGCCUUGGUCUGCUGACCUUGGACUAGUCCUGGAAGGUUCUAGCCCCCAUCACAUCUAGGCUUAGAAUGUUCUCAGCUUCUGAAACUUACAUCUGAAUAAGGUCCCCACUUUCUAGUUCUUUCUGAUCUCUGACUGCCUGAUUUAAUUUGUUCUGGCUCAAAAAAUCCUCUCCACGGUAACUGAAUGAACUAGAAAGUGGGGACCUUAUUCAGCUGUAAGUCUCAGAAGCUGAGAACAUUCUAAGCCUAGUUUUGAUUUGAUGGGGGCUAGAACCUUCCAGGACUAGUCCAAGGUCAGCAGACCAAGGCAGAAAGCCUCAGAGACAAGAAUUGAUGCACGCAAAUAAAAGUUACUUUUACAGGAAAUUAUUUGAAAGUUGCCUGGGCUGUCACUGCUGAAGGUAAAUAUUUUAAGGUAUCUCUGUUUUAGAUACCAGUGUCUAGAAACUGAAAGACAGCCCCAGAUUCUCCUCUUUUCUAGGAGUUGGGAUGUGUGGCAGUCACUACGUGUUGUCUGUUUAGUGUCUCUCUUUC